rnacentral:rRNA from 1 species
UCGCUUCUACCGAUGAAUGAUCCGGUGAACUGUUUGGACUUGUGGGCUUUAAGAGGAAACUCUGUAUGACCAUCAAGGAAGAACCGUAAAUUGUAUCAUUUAGAGGAAGAAG